AGCUUUGCACUAUUUUAGAAUUUUCUACUUAUAUCUCAAUUAAAUAAGACAGCUGUACCCAUUAGAUCUGAUCGGACUAACAAAAGAUGAGAAAUCAGGAGUUAGUCCUACAACCUAGGGAAGAAUCCUCAAUUUUUCUUCAGGCCAUAACAUACAUGACAGAAUAAAAGCCGAACGGUGAAGCGCUGCUGGGGAGAGAAUUCUGAGCCUUGGAAAUACUAAGCAAGUACUGUACCAGUGAACUAUUGUCCUGAACCCGUAAGCUGAGAAGAAAGACUAGAAGUCAGGUGUAGUGGUACAUGCCUUUAAUCCCAGCACUUGGAAGACAGAGGCAGAUCUCUGAGUUUGAGGCCAGCCUGGUCUACAGGGAUUCCAGUAUGCAAACAAGAGGAGUGCGGGAAAGGAGAAGAAAUCUUGCAGCACGCUCAUGAGCCAUUUUACAACGCCACCCAGACACUGCCAUGGUCAGAGAACCUUCAGUACCAUGCUCCACACAUAUUCUUAAAAGACCAAAGACACAUUUCAAAAUAUUUUUCAGCUUUAAAAAAAUAAAAACAGAUUUAAACUAGGGACUAAGAUAAAGGCCUCUCUAGCCCUCUGAUAGCUAAGAAGGGGCCACGCACACUCCUGCCCAGGCAUCAGUGUUCACCGGGAUAGUGCCUGCACAGCUCAACUAUUGUAACUAACCUGAGUAUCUGUCAAUGGGGUGAAGGGCAAAGGGCUGUGCUGUUUACAGGAAAAUAGAUGCAACUGGAAAUAAUCACAUUAGGUCAAUUAAGGCAGUCUCAAAGACAGACAGCCUACGUUUUCUUCCUUUUGUGGCUCCUAGACUUUAGAGAUCUGUAAAAUCGUGUAUGCAUAUAUGAUAUGAAAGCCCAAGAAAAGCUAUUGAGAGAGAUGGAGAGGACAGGAGGGGGAGGAAGAAAUGAGGACAAGAGAAUAAGCUCAACAUACAUUUUACACAAAAACUUAAAAUUGUUUAAAUGCACAGGUAUUUCCACCAACUCAUUCCCAGUGUUGGGUAGGAAAAUUAUUCAAUUUGUGUUGCCUUUUCUCAUUCUUUCAAAACUGACAGCUCUUUCUAGAUCCUGGAGAUAAAUGUUAACAAUUACCCAGCAUCCAUCAGCACCUGCUUUCCUCAGGCAUACAUUUCAAUUUACAAAAUAUAUGCUUUUUAGGCAUGUCAUCCCCAGGCAAUUAGCUGCCCCAACUGACAGGCAUGUGAAAUACAAAAGGCUCAUUUGGAGAGCUCUAACCUGAGGUCAUAGGCACAGAACAGAUGACCUAAAUUCUUACAGGGGCUGGAGGUGAACAACUUUCUUGAAAAUAGCUUUGUGUGUCUGUCCUACCCUCCCCCCUUACUUCUCCUUGUCACAGCAGUCACUGAAGACUUUGUGCCUUAUCCACCAUGGAGCAACACUUUGAAGCUGUUAAAAGUGAUCUUUGAACAUUAUCAAGAUUACAUAGAAACUUUCUAAGUAUUUGUUAUAACAUUAUAAAAGCAGCAAAACUUAAAAUUCAUUAUUUCUACAACUAUGUAAAAACGGGAGUUAUGCAAAAUAACAUGCACUGCAGUAGAGUAGUUUACAUCAGGACAUGUGUCUGUAUGGCAGGAUUCUCAAAAUCAGGAGUUGAAAUUGGUGCUUACUCUUACAUUACUCUUGCAUUAAGUAAUCUCAAGGAAAAUAUUUCAUUCACUGUAACUGAAACAGCACUCAGUAUGACUAGACUUCAAAUUCUGGAUUAGAGCAGCUCUAGGUGGCCACCCCUGCAAUGAUUUCAACAUCUGUUGUUUAUCUGGGGGAAUAAAGAGGCACACCAAACUAGCUCAUUCGUUCUGAGUGAAAAGAAGAUUGCUAUGUGGGGAAUUGUUAGUUCUUUGUUAGUGUUUUUGUUAUUAUCAAGAUUCCUCAGGAAAGUGAGCUGGCCAGAAGCAUAGUUAAUGAAAGUGAAGCAGGAAAGAAAUAGAAUUAAUUACGCCAGUUCGCCUUCAGCAGUUACUCUAGCACUGAGAAGUAAGAGGUAGUAGCUAUUUCCUGGGAAGUAUGCCAGCUGGGGGGCUACAAUCUCUAGCUAUCAAACUACCCAAAUUUGUUCCCCACUCCCUACCCCUAUACUUCCAGUUUAUUUGCUACCAUCUGUAAGAGAAUGUGUAAAAACAAAAGAAAAGAUAAACACCAACUUCCAUUUACAUUGUAUGUUUCGUGAUAUCUACACAGACCCAGGCAAGCAGUCACCGUAUGCAGAUGUCAUCUGUCCACUCUGUCACGAUUUCUAAUCAGCUCAGAUAAUUCCAAGUUUGCUGUACUAUAAUUUAUCCAAUUAAUCUAAUCAGCUAUGAAACAGAUGAGGGCAACAAUGCAAUCUUUGAUAAAGUGAGUUCAUUGAGCUUUAAAAACUGCUCAGCUGAGGACAUAGUUAACUUCUACACA